rnacentral:lncRNA from 1 species
CACUGUUUCCCAGAACGGCUCCAUUAGGAAGCUACAUUUCAAGGGCUUCUUUCCUUAUCUCGCAGAACAACUCAUUUGCUGUGGCCCUGAGUGCAUAGGAAAGGUCAAUGCCUACCAGAAAUCUGAGGACUGAGAAGGCUUAUUACGAAGAUGAAAGUGAAAGUAACUUACAUAGAAAAAUAUUCUCUGUAGGGUUGCAUGUUGGUUUUCGACAAAGGACCUGCCUGGCUUUUAGCAAGAGUUAAUGCUGAUAACCUGUCAAAAAAAUAAACAAAAAAAGGAAAGGAAGGAAAACAGAGAAAGAGAAAGAAGAGAAUAGACCAUAGGUAUAAAGAUCUUUCAACAGCAUUACAGCGGCUGGGAGUUUCCUAGGUUGGGGAGGAAGAUACACCACCUGCCACACCAUCACUAAUGGGACUGUGACACUCUUCUCCUGUCAAUCAAUAAAGUCACCAGAAGGAACCUCCAAGGGAGGUGCAUCUUAUCUGAGGCCCACAGCUCCCAAGGCACUGGGCACCUGGAAUCCACUAGAAGGAAAUCAGAGUAACCAGUAAAGGCAUAAAACAAGAGAGCACAGAACCUAAGAAAGUGCCGUACAUGUGACCAGAAGCAGAAGGCCGACACAUCACCAGGCAGCGAAAUACUGGCCAAGUUCCCUUUCACAAGGUGAUGAUUGAUUCGAUUCACUAUGGAUGUUCCAUUUUUGGAGCACAAGCAGGGAGAAGAGAAAAUCAGGAACCCAUACCUGGAAAUCGUGAAUCCAUACCUAGAAAUCCUGAACCCGUACCUAGGCUCUAACAGCAAAAGAGAAGAGGAGCCGAAUAAGAUUGGAUGCAUUAUCAAAGGUCACUCAAACUCUAGUUCACACAUGUGGAAAUUCAGCAGGUAUCCAUUAAUAUCCACGUAUACAAGUUUGCCUCAAAGCAAACCUAGACAUAUGCAUUUUUAAAACAUCUCUUCCUGCUGAUAAAAAAUUUGGAGUAAUUUAUUAAGAUGUACAAUUCCAGCAUUAUAGUGAGCAUAAUUUCUACCUUGUAUUACGUGCAAAAUGGAUAGCAUUUUAGCGUUUGUUUCUAGUUCGAACAGGUCCUGCCUAUGCAGACGUAGUAACAGGCGCUUCCCUCCCAGAGAUGGAAAGGGCAGACGUGAAGCCGCCGACACCCAGGUUUGCCGCCACCUUGGCCACUUGCCAGCUGUUUGCCCCUGAGCAAAUUCCUACCUCCCUCAGCCUCACUCAGUUCCCCAAGUGAUGGGAUCACCCAAACAGGAACACACGUAAAGAACCUAAAACAGGCUUCAGUAAACAUUAAUUCUCUUCUUGUCCCUGAUAAUAUAAAAUAACUAUUGCAUUUCUCUUUAUUUUUUUUUAAAGAUUUUAUUUUUUUCCUUUUUCUCCCCAAAGCCCCCCAGUACAUAGCUGUAUAUUCUUCGUUGUGGGUCCUUCUAGUUGUUGUAUGUGGGAUGCUUCCUCAGCGUGGUUUGAUGAGCAGUGCCAUGUCCGCGCCCAGGAUUCAAACCAACGAAACACUGGGCCGCCUGCAGUGGAGCGCGCAAACUUAACCACUCGACCACGGGGCCAGUCCCAUUUUGCUUUAUUUUUAUCAGCCUGUUACAGCACGUGUCUUUAAAGCUUCUUGAAGUUGAAAGAUAUUAGAUAAUCACUUUUCUGUGGGCAUAGUUAACUUAAAUCAAACGUUUCUCCCAUUAGUAAUUUGGUUCAGAUAAAAGAGAAACACUUAUUUCACAAAUUAUAUUGCUGACAUUAUUAUAAUUUGUAAUUAUGCGUCAUCUUCUAUGCAAGAGCUCAAAGGGCCUUACAAACAAAAAUACUUGCAAUCUAUAAGGAUAUAGUUAAAUAUUCUAUUUCACUGACAGGUAAACUAAUAAUAACAAAUUAAGUCACACAAGAUUUCAUACUACUUUGGUGACAUACCUGAGAAAAUACAAAAGUUCCAUGUUCUAUCUACACUUCAAGAAUGGCAAGAACAUGCCACAGACACCCUGCUCUCCUCUUCUGUGACCUUACCAACCAUCACAAAUUGAGCGCAGCACAUUUCACAUUGGUCCUCAGAAUUUUCAACGCAACCCUCCGGCAGCCACCAUCAAGCAGAUAGAAAUGGUUUACAUAUUAAAGUUUGUUUGCCUUCCUUGAGUUAGAUUAUUUUCCAAGUGUUAUCUACAUUAGGAAUGAAUUCACACAAUGGACCGCAAAGCCUCAUUUGCAUUCUUCCUUUCUACCGUUUUUUAAUGUUCACUGAAAUAUAUCCUUGAAAAUUUACUUGUCUUUUUUUUUAGAUUUUGUUUUUAAUUUUUCCUUUUUCUCCCAAAGCCCCCCAGCACAUAGCUGUAUAUUUUUAGUUGUGGGUCCUUCUAGUUGUGCAUGUGGGACACCACCUCAGCAUGGCCUGAUGAGCGGUGCCAUGUCUGCGCCCAGGAUCCGAACCAGCGAAACACUGGGCCGCCAAAGCAGAGCGUGCGAACUUAACCACUCGGCCACAGGGCCGGCCCUACUUGUCAUUUUUAAUUGGACCUGGCACAAUUAAAUUCUCAUUACAUUAACCCUCAGAGAGAGAAAAUUUGCUAAAAGUCCUUGCUCCCUCCUACUCAGAGAAAACAAUAUCCAUCCGGUUCUCCAAGACUUCCCUCAAACCCAACACUGUGCUCCACGUUCACGGACUGCAUUUCACUGUCCGCCCCGCACCCUGCCUCUCCACGACCUGGCUCCAUCAGGUUUCCUCUUUCUGUUUUCUAUUUUAUAUCUCCUUCUCCUGGAUCUUUCCCUACUCAGAUUUUUAGAAGAAAUCCCCAUCCUGUAUGGCUCCACUGCAAGUAGAUGAUUCUGAUUUCAGCCAGACCCUCGAAGGCUCAACAAUUCCUCUGCAUAACCACAGGUGGCCCUUUCCCCAUCCAUUUCAUCAGAGCUUUGAAAUCUUCAUCAGUCCUCUCAGUCUGUACCCCCAGCUCCCUUGACUCAUCAGAUGCCAAACCGUCAUAGAGAACACAGGUGCCGUUGGGUAUGGACUGCCCAGCUCCCCUGAGCUCUGCCUGAACCUCUGCACACACUCGUUCUUGGCUCAGCUGCACCUUCUUUCUCCACAAUGUCCGUCCCUCCUCUUGGCCCUGUGCCCCUCACCUGAUCCAGGACUCUCUGUCCUUGUUUUCCCACUCCUCCCUCAACAUGCCUUUAAAAUCCUUUCUUGGACAAAUUCCUCGGAGCCUAGAAAUAAGAUUGAGAGUGUUCCUCACGAAAAAUAAAGAAGCAAGGAGGCAAGCA